CUCAUCGCAAAAUAUCGAAACGCGAUUCGAAUAAACGCCGCGGUUCGCCUAAAUACAGGUACACGGGUACGAUUUCGUGUCGUUACACGCGGUCCUCGGCGGUUUUGAAUAAUGCACACCGCCACACCGUAGGCGUUUCAAAGGAGUUUUUUGCCGUUCAAUAGAUACCGGACCGACUUGUAACGGGUAUUGUACCGAAAAUAUACGUAAAUAUUUCGGAUACACAAGGGUCUUUUCGCACG